rnacentral:rRNA from 1 species
UACAGAGGGGGCAAGCGUUGUUCGGAAUUACUGGGCGUAAAGGGCGCGUAGGCGGCCUGUUAAGUCGAACGUGAAAUCCCUGGGCUCAACCCAGGAACUGCGUCCGAUACUGGCAGGCUUGAAUCCGGGAGAGGGAUGCGGAAUUCCAGGUGUAGCGGUGAAAUGCGUAGAUAUCUGGAGGAACACCGGUGGCGAAGGCGGCAUCCUGGACCGGCAUUGACGCUGAGGCGCGAAAGCCAGGGGAGCAAACGGG